rnacentral:lncRNA from 1 species
UUUGUGUUUUAGACUGGUGUGCACCGAACGCGUCCGGUGCCAACUUGCUCAGCAUCCGGUGCACUGCAGGUGACCAUUAGACUCUGAUACGCGGCUGACGUUGGAGCACCGGACGCAGGAGGUGAGCGUCCGGUGACCCCGUGUUCAGCCCAGUGAAAGAGCUAACGGCUCUAUUUGCUUGAGGGGCUUAUAAAUACAUGUUUGGCCGGCUUGGGGCUCACUCUCUUGGCAUUCUUGACUACUAGACAUCCUUAUGAGCCUAAGCAAACUCCUCUCACUCAUCUCCUUCGUAGAUUAAACAUCUUUAUGAGAUUGGGAGUGAUUUCAAGUGCAUUUGCUUGAGUGAUUGCAUCUAGUGGCACUUGGGGAUCGUUCUAGCUGUGGUUUUCUUGUUACUCUUGGUGGUUGCCGCCACCUAGACGGCUUGGAGCAGCGGAGGAGGAUUGCCACGAGUUCGUGAUUGUUCGUGGCCAUCUCCCGGUGUUUGUGAGGGGUCUUGUACCUUCCCCGGCGGAGAGCCGAAAGGUAACUCUAGUGGAUUGCUCGUGUCAUUGAGUUACCUCACUUGUGGGUCGGUUCUUGUGGUGUCCUAGUGAGGACGAGGUCCGUGCUACACCUCUUAGCCACCGCACCACCAAGUGUUGGUCGACACAACGGGGACGUAGCGUGCCGGCAAGCACGUGAACCUCGGGAGAAAAUCGUGUCUCUUCAUUGUGAUUGUGCUUUGGAUUUCUCCCGGUGAUUGGACUUCAUAUUAUUGAUUGGUUCAUCCCCUCUACGUGGUGGUAUAAAGAUCAAACCUUCUCUCUUACUUUCUUACAAACUAGAGUAGCUUACAUACUUGUAUAGAAACUUUAGGUAGCUCUCUUGUGUAAGUAGAGACAUAGCUCUUGUGUGCUUAGUGAUCAUAUCAACUAGAUUUGUUGGAUAGGUGGCUUGCAAACACCCCUUUAGAGCUAGAGCAAAAAGCUUCGCUUUGUUAUUUACUAACCUCUUGCUCUAGUGAAUUUGUAGAUUUUUUAAAUAGGCUAUUCACCCCCCUCUAGCCAUAUUAGGACCUUUUAGAAGGUUGAGCUGUUGUUUAUCUGUUCCUAGAGAUGCUAGAAUUCUAGAUAAUUUUAUCUUUGAAAAUCUUUAAAAUGUUGCAUAAUGAGUUCCUGUAUGAUGAGAGUUUAAAACCCUACCACAGCCACAUAUACAUGCUUAUUAGACUAUGAACCUUACAUUUACUUUUUACUACUUAUGAGCAUUGAGUGUGGUCAAGCUGUGUAGACCCUUAGGAACUUGUCAUGCGGUUAAAAUCAAGAUCCACUUGCACGUUCACUCAUACAUGCUGCUUCUACUCCGGAAGUACGCAUCCACAUACAUCCACUCAUUUCCCUCUCCAGAUUCACCCAAAAUUAUUCUACUCCUAUCCGGAAUAGAAUAGCCAAAAACAUUAUCCCAUUCCUGCUUUUCCCAGUGAAAUAAAUGCUCGAGAUAUUUUGGUUACUACCACUUGCUACAUUAUUCCAGGAGGGUGAGUGCUCUAAAAAAAGAGAGAAGAAAAAAAAUAAGAAAAAAAUACGAGGAAAUAAAAAGGGGCAAGUGCCCGGAACCUCGAAGAAAAGAAAAAGUGAGACGAGAGGUAAAAAUGGACAAGUGUCCGAUAGUAGAAUUAGGAGUACAAGAUACCCACCUGAGAGAAAAGAAAAAUAAAAUAUAGAGCAUCUCAUUCCCCUCAAAAAGCUUCAAAGUGCAAGGAAGGUACGUAUCCCCUCAAAAGAGCAAAAAUAGAAUUAGACUUUCACCAUUGUUUUCACCAUCAUCACCAUACACCAUUCAUUCGCCACACAUGCACAUCUUGAUUUGACUUAUUGACUUGUUUCUCUAGAUCCAUGGUUUGAUUAUGCAAUAAAUGUCUUGUAAGUAUGUAUUAGCUGUCUCCCACCUAUGAGCUCCAGAUAUCAAAGCCUCAUUAGAGUAGGAUGAGAGAGAAGGCAAUAUCACUAUGCCUCAUACCACAAAUACUACAUACUUUGAGAGAAGGCAUAUACCAUCACUGCUUUGGUAAGGAUCCAAAAAUACCACAAAAGAGAGAUUUGAGAAAGUCAUACAAAUGAAUCUCUGAGUUUUAUUUGAAAAUCUACAAAAACUCUAGAGCUAUAGUUGAUCAAGAAUAAGAGACAUGGCGCUUGACUAGACUGUUCUAUCUUUUAACUGCUCAAGACAAAAGUGACGCUUGCAAGCCCCAUGGUGAAAGGUAAAACGAGUAAGUUUAAAUCUUAACAGUUUACCCUAACCCAGAGAUGAGAUCUUGUUUGAACACAUGUAUACCUUUAAGGCAUGAAACCACUGCAAAAACUCUUGAGUCCAUCCUUGCUCAGGGACGAGCAAGAGGUAAGCUUGGGGGAGUUGUUGACGGUCCUUAAGUACCAAAUUUAAUUAUCAAAUAAACAAAGAAAAGGAUCCAAAUACAACCAACACCCAGACUUAGGGUUUUAUCUGACAGAAUUCCACAAGUUUUGGUGUUUGUCUAUUUCUGCAGGGGGUUAUCAGGAAAUAUGGAGGAAAGGCCCACAUGUUGGGUUUACAUAGACAUAUUAACGUGUCGUGCAAUUUUCUAUCAUCUAGAAGACUCCAUAAGCCACGGGAACGAACGAGAAGCCGAGCGGGCCCGGGGACAGGGCGCCCGCCCUCCCCCCUUGGGCGCCCGCCCUGUCAUCUGGACCAAUCAGGCUCCGCCUCGAGGAUUAUGCUCCACCGCCUUUGAGGAUCAAGGAAAACCGUGCGAUUAAGGUCGGUUUGAUCCGACGGUCCACAUUCAUUUGGAGGGGCUAUAUAAGCAGGCCCCCUGUCCCCUAGAGGAGGCACCCCUUCAUUCUUAUUCAUUAUUCAUAGAUAGAGCAAAAGCUAGGGUUUGGUGAUGAGAGCUCUCCUCUCAUCUCUAAACUAGAGUAGAUCUAGAUAGUAGC